CUCUGUCACCCAGGCUGGAGUGCAGUGGUGUAAUCUCGGCUCACUGCAACCUCUACCUCCUGGAUUCAAGUGAUUCUCCUGCCUCAGCCUCCUAAGUAGCUGCUAUUACAGGUGUCUGCUGCCAUGCUCAGCUAGUUUUUGUGUGUGUGUGUAUUUUUAGUAGAGACGGGGUUUCACCAUGUUGGCCAGGCUGGUCUCGGACUCCUGACCUCAGGUGAUCCACCUGCCUCAGCCUCCCAAAGUGCCUGUAUUACAGGUGUGAGCCACCAUGCCCAGCCUCUCAGCUACUUCUGGUCAGCCCAGCAGCAUGGCGUCAGGUAUUUCCCGGCUGGUGCUGGUGGAUACAAGGUCCACAGCCACCAUUCCCGUGGUGUAUAGAUGGAUCAUCGCUCUUCUUUUGCUAUCUGGAAAAAGUCUCUUUCAAAAAUCUGUUAAAUUAACUUAUUUUUGGCCUGAGGCUGCCUCCAUACCUUGAGUUUCUGUGUCAGGAGCCACAACCUAACUCAGUAGGUAAACAAACCGAAAGCCUAAUUUAGGAGCAUAUUUUUGUAACAAAUAGCUGUGUCACAGCCAGUCAUAGCAACCGAACUUCCGCUAAUCACAGGCUACCCACUGAUCAGACCAUGUCCAAAAAAGGCAGAUGCCGGAGUUGUAACCAAUCAAGCUAUUUCUGUAGGGUACUUCCAGUUUUCUGUCUAUAAAUAAUCCCUGCCCAGGGAGCUCUCUGAACUUCCACUUGUUCUGGGUGUUGCCUGAUUCAUGAAUCAUUCUUUGCACAAUUAAACUCUGUUCAAUUUAAUUUGUCUAAAGUUUUUUUUCUUUCAACAGAACGAUGUGUACUUGAAAACAGUACACUCUUGCACAGCUGUCCCUGGAGCUUCCCCGUGGAGCUGUUAAACUUGCCCUCCGCUGGCUGUUUUCCACAAAGUAAUAUGGUUACAUAGAUUCACGGCUCAUGGCAAUGUUUCAUUAAGACAGUUCUUGAUGGCCGCUCCACACCUUUCUCACCACAUCUCACAGGCUGCCCUGCUGAGCCAGGUCUCCCUGGAACCCGGGGCUCCUGCGCAGGCCCCCAUUUUGCUCCAGAACACCCAGGAAGGCGGGGCUUGGGCUGGAAUGGGGACACCGAUUACCCUCUGUUCAGGCCUUUGGUGCCAGCUGAGGUCGAUACUGGUGCCAGGAUCGAGACUGUGCGCAUCCCAUCGAGAGCGGGCAGAUGUGGGGGCGCACUGGACCGGGCCUCCCAGGCUGACACCCAUUCACAGCAGCCUGAGCCUAAUCCGCCACUGCUCGCCUUCCUCCGACGUCUCCACCUAAACCAUCCUUCUGCACAUUGUGACCCAUCACUCCGCCCUUUGUCCACACAUCUCCUUCCCCACACCCACAACGCGGUGGUCCCUGCCCCACAAUGCAACGGAAACCUUGCGGAGUGCUAGGCGGAAGCUGCGAGGCCUGUGUAGACACUGCCUCCGCAGGGCUGGCGCACUCCUCCGAGGGCCGACUGAGGGGUGGGUUUUUUAAGUUGCAAAAUAAAAGUUAUCGCCUGUGGGCCCUGAAGGCCUCUUUUCCACUGGAUGACAGGAAUGUGUUUGUUCAGAGAUUGUAGUCUCCCUGAACUGGAAGGGACUUUAGAAACGGUCUAUUACAACACUCUCCUCCUACAUAGAGUUGGAGAAAUUUCACCCAUGGCUGGGCAGAAUCAGGGAGGCUUACCCUUUGGUACUACAGUUUUUGGCAUUACUGCAGGAACAUAGUGUCCCAGCCAUAAUGUUAGGUAGUUAGACAUUAGCAGCUGGGAGGGGGCGAGAGAGGAGGGCAGAAGGGCUAUCACUAAGACAGGCCCUGGCCCACCUAAGUUCAGCCCCCAAGACCACCCUAACUCCACCCUGAUAGAUGCAGCUUGUGGUAAAGUCUGUGGCCAGCACAUCCUGGAGAAAGAAGAACUGGGCACAGAUAAAAAAUCCCCUUACGUGGCGCAUGCCCAGUCCAUCUAGGCCAUAAACCCGGGUAACCUCAUCCUCAUUAUACAGUCAUUAUAAUAAAAUUUACAUGUGGUUUUGCCCCUCUGAGUGGGCUUUCCUUAACAAAGUGUAAGUAAAGACGUGCAGUUUAAGUUCAGUGAUAUAAGCAUAAACUGCUAAUCAAAUGACACAAUCCUGUCACUCAAACACAGCCCAAGCCUCAACUCCUCCCCACAAACUGCAUAAACGCACCCUGAGCUCUAUAAAGAGGGGCUGAUUUCACUUCGCAGAGGUUACCCCACUCUCCCUCUGAGAGUGCAUUACUGUGCUUCAGAAAGCCUUGUUUUGAGCUUGCAUUUCGGGGUUAGUUCGCAAUUCUUUGCUCACUAUCACGAGAACCAAGACUGCUGGUCCAGAGGUCCGGCUUUGUUGGAUCUCCUUGGUUAAAGGAUCCAUCUCAAGGCAGGAUUCCAGGUAACAAUACCAUCUUGGCAGUUGCCAAUUUUCCUGUGCACAUAUGGGGAUCUAUUUUGUUUCCAUAAAAACACAAAACAAGCUUGAUUUAUCAUAUAAGCAAUUCCAAAGCAUUCUUUUAAGCAAGCUGUUCAUGUAAGUUGAUACAAAUGAAAGUUGAGUACACUCAGUAACUGCUGGCUGUAUUAGAGCUAUCUACUCAUAUUUAGAAUCAUCAAAUUUAGGGAAAACAAAAAAAGUAGGUGUUUCAGAAUGGCCCCAUGCUGCUCAGAAAGGUUUGAUCUAAAUGUAGGAAAGCCACUUUACAUGGGAGAGACCUGAAUUUUUUUAGGCCUGAGUUGAUGUCAUUGCGGACAAUGAUAUGGUGGCAACUGGAUUCAUAAAUCCUCUAAAGCCGAAAGCACUUGUAGCAAGGUUACUCUGGGAAUAACAUGUCCAUGGGGAACUUUGGUUCUCCCCACGCUGGAUUAGAAGAGUUGUUUGGAAUUUUCACAAAGACCAGGGUCAGCAUCAGAUUAAACUGGUGAUCAGAAUUCUGAAGGCUCAUAUGAAUAGCAGCUGGGUGUGGAAAAAGUCACCAUAUGCUGACAUGUGCUGGAACAUCUUUCUACGCUCCACAUUUUACUUAGACUUGUCUGGUCAAGAUAUUUCCGAUUGCAAGGCGUUUUUUUCCAAGUUGUCACAUGUUUGUGAUUUGCUUUCAUAAGGGAGUUGAUGGCAUUAACUAGGUAGAGACAGAAGAAUAUUGGGGGUUGAGAGAUUAAAAACUACAUAUUGGCUGCAAUGUACACUACUCCAGUGACAGGUGCACUAAAGUCUCAGACUUCACCCCUCUAGUUCAUCCACGUAACCAAAAACUACUUGUACCCCCAAAGCUAAUGCAAUUUUUAAAUACUUAUUUAAAAACAAGAAUGUGGGAACCAUCCUACUGUGUUAGCCCUCUGGACCAUCCAGCCUGGCAUUUUUUUAUUGACAGAAAUAUCAAAGGAUAGAUCAUGAAAAAACAUCAUUGCUUUUCUUGACUAACCUGAAUUUCAGUAGAGCGUGACUUCCCUUAGCAGUAGAUUUUUGUUUUUUUGAGACAAGGUCUUCCUCUGUUGCCCAGGCUGGAGUGAAGUGGUGUGAUCAUAGCUCACUGUAGCCUCAACUCCCCGGGCUCAGUUGAUCCUCCUGCCUCAGCCUUGCAAGCAGCUGGGAUUAUGGGCAUGAGCCACCAUGCCCAGCUAAUUGUUUAAUUUUGUGUUGAGACGGGGUCUCACUAUGCUGCCCAGGCUGGCCUCAAACUCCUGGACUCAAGUGAUCCUCCCACCUCCCAUUCCCAAAGUUCUGUGAUUACAGGUGUGGCCAUCGCACCCGUCCCCUUAGUAGUAUUUUAAUGUUUCCAUUAUUCCUUGGAACCCUUUUAUAUCUUGUUAACUUUUGUGAUAUUUAUUUGCUGUGAUCUGAAUGUUGGCGUCCCCCAUAUGUUGGCACCUACAUAUGUGACAGUAUUAAGAGUAGUGGUGUGGGAGGUGAUUAGGUCAUGAGGGUGGAGCCCUCUUGAAUGGGAUUAAUGCCUCUUUUAUAGAGAUGUGAAGGAGCCUCCCAUUCCCUUCUUCCAUGUGGGGAUACAGCAACCAGGCACCCUCUAUAAACAGGAAAUAGGCCCUCACCACACAUAGAAUCUACUGGUGACUUGAUCUUGGACUUCCCAGCCUCCAGAAAUGUGAGCCAUAAAUUUUGGUUGUUUAUAAAUUACCCAGUCUAGGGUAUUUUUGUCAUAGCCAUCCAAAUAGAGACAUUAGUGUUCCAUGCUAGAGAAAAGAGUCCUUCAUGUUUUCUACCUAAUUAAUUUCACUUAAGUUUGAAAAUAACGUCCCCUCCUCUAGCUACUUCAGAAUCGGAAAAAGAGAUGUGUGUCCUUCUCUUUCAUCCAAGGUCCUUCUCUAGUCCAAGACCUGUGCCUUAACUGUUUUAGGACAGUUAAGACCUGUCCUAAAACAUGUACUAGACACUGACUAAAACUCAUCUGUAAUGCACAUUGACUUGAUGUAUUUUACAUCUUGCUUUUCCUUUUUUUUCUCUUGACUUUAUAAGCUGCUAACCUGGUUGGUUGUUCUGCCAUUUCUUCCUGGUCUUGACUGUGAUCUAUACAAUUUCAUCCCCUGGUCAUGAACUCUUCCAUCAUCUGAAGUCAUCAUGUCUCCUUGUUUGGCACUGAACUUGUAGGCCAUAUUGGAAUACAGAUCAUCUAGUCUAACCUAGUCACAGGUGUUUUUCUACUUAACAUGCUUGACUUCCUUCACCAAACAUCCUCCCCACCCAAUUAACUUACUCCAGUCUUUUAAACAAAAUGAUAGAUGUAUUUAUCUUAUCCAUGUCACUCAUUAGUUUAUGAACUGCAAUCCUGAAUCCUUUUACAAUUUACCUAACA
rnacentral:lncRNA from 1 species